ensembl:lncRNA
GAUGAAUCUACAUGUAUACAGUUCUUUAUCUGCCUCUUUCACUAGAAGUAUUUUGCUGUCUAUCAUUUCCUCAUCAUUAUUACCUGUCAUGACAUUUACCAAAUAAUAUCAUACAAAGAAAAUUCUCUUUUCCUUUCCAACAACGCUGUGUCUUGAUAUAAUACAGGGAGUCCUGAGGCCUAAUAAGAACUGUGGAUCUUUCCACAGCCAGGAUUAUCAGUAUGAUGGUAUGCCUAGAAAAUGUAUUGCCUGUGAUAAACAUCAAAGUACUUUAGAAAAAUGGCCUGACCUAGACAAUACCACAGAUUUUCUUGUAUCUGGUGGCUUGCUGAGCAAGACAACAGCUGUGGGUGACUUCUUGCUUUGUUGUUUGUUUGUUUGUUUGUUUGUUUACUUUGUUGGCUGGUUGUUUUCUCCAAGAUUUACAUGUAACUAGGGCAUGUUUUUGACCACCUGGUCUUAGAAAACUCUUGAAAAUGAACAGCCUGAUGAUUGUAAACCUAGAGGCAAACAAAAUUCAAAGUUCAAAUUUCAUUGCCUGUAAAAUCUAAUUAUUACACAAACCCUGUGACUUUCUAUGACUUACUGUCUUCAGACUUUGAGUCUGGCACAACCAACAAAUUCUGCAUGGUAAUUUCAUUAUUAUUUCAGACCUGCUGUUUCCAGAAAACUAGGAGUAGAUGUCAGGCAAAGACUCACUGUUUCUGCUGAUUUUCGUUUCUUUUCCAUUUCAGGCCACAGUCAGAAGAAAGGAACAGUGCUGUACUGUUUCUGAAGAGCUGAACUAGUGUAGCACGUCUUAGUACAAGGCAUUAAAACAAGAUGGCAAAUACAACAGUUUUUAUUUGCAGAAGUAGGAAAAUUAGAACAGAAACUCUUGCUCCUGAACUCACUAACAAAAUUUUUUUGCUAUUACUACUGAAAAUGGUGAACUGUUCAGUGUGAUUCAUUCAGUCCUUGAUGGAGAUGAAUUUAAAACUGAUAUUCCUGAUUUUCAAUUUUUUUGUUCGUUUGUUUUAGCACUACUUGUUAAUAAGAUGGUCAUUUGCUUAGGUGCAGUAACUGCUUUGGUCAAGUCCGGACAUUGUUACUUAGAUCUCUUUCUGUUGUUCUUCAACACAUGCAGUUGUUAUAAAGAAAAUGUGCAAAAACAAAAUCAUGGGACUACCCUGUUAAAAUGAAAGUCAUUUGACUUAUAGAAUGAACAACAUUUAGAAAUAAAUGUAGCUUGAAUUCUCUCU